GAUGAGCCUAUGUCGGAUUAGCUUGUUGGUGAGGUAAUGGCUCACCAAGGCGACGAUCCGUAGCUGGUCUGAGAGGAUGAUCAGCCACAUCGGGACUGAGACACGGCCCGAACUCCUACGGGAGGCAGCAGUGGGGAAUAUUGGACAAUGGGCGAAAGCCUGAUCCAGCCAUGCCGCGUGUGUGAAGAAGGCUUUCGGGUUGUAAAGCACUUUCAGUGAGGAAGAACGCCUUCGGCUUAAUACGCCGGAGGAAAGACAUCACUCACAGAAGAAGCACCGGCUAACUCCGUGCCAGCAGCCGCGGUAAUACGGAGGGUGCGAGCGUUAAUCGGAAUUACUGGGCGUAAAGCGCGCGUAGGUGGCUUGAUAAGCCGGUUGUGAAAGCCCCGGGCUCAACCUGGGAACGGCAUCCGGAACUGUCAGGCUAGAGUGCAGGAGAGGAAGGUAGAAUUCCCGGUGUAGCGGUGAAAUGCGUAGAGAUCGGGAGGAAUACCAGUGGCGAAGGCGGCCUUCUGGACUGACACUGACACUGAGGUGCGAAAGCGUGGGUAGCAAACAGGAUUAGAUACCCUGGUAGUCCACGCCGUAAACGAUGUCGACUAGCCGUUGGGGUCCUUGAGACCUUUGUGGCGCAGUUAACGCGAUAAGUCGACCCGCCUGGGGAGUACGGCCGCAAGGUUAAAACUCAAAUGAAUUGACGGGGGCCCGCACAAGCGGUGGAGCAUGUGGUUUAAUUCGAUGCAACGCGAAGAACCUUACCUACCCUUGACAUCGAGAGAACUUUCCAGAGAUGGAUUGGUGCCUUCGGGAACUCUCAGACAGGUGCUGCAUGGCUGUCGUCAGCUCGUGUUGUGAAAUGUUGGGUUAAGUCCCGUAACGAGCGCAACCCUUGUCCCUAUUUGCCAGCGAUUCGGUCGGGAACUCUAGGGAGACUGCCGGUGACAAACCGGAGGAAGGUGGGGACGACGUCAAGUCAUCAUGGCCCUUACGGGUAGGGCUACACACGUGCUACAAUGGUCGGUACAAUGGGUUGCGAAGCCGCGAGGUGGAGCUAAUCCCAUAAAGCCGGUCUCAGUCCGGAUCGGAGUCUGCAACUCGACUCCGUGAAGUCGGAAUCGCUAGUAAUCGUGAAUCAGAAUGUCACGGUGAAUACGUUCCCGGGCCUUGUACACAC
rnacentral:rRNA from 3 species